rnacentral:rRNA from 1 species
CGCCUCUUGACAAAAUAUAAGAGGUCUAGCCUGCCCAGUGACUCUGUUUAACGGCCGCGGUAUCCUAACCGUGCGAAGGUAGCGUAAUCACUUGUUCUUUAAAUGAGGACUAGUAUGAAUGGCAUCACGAGGGUUAUACUGUCUCCUUUUUCUAAUCAGUGAAACUAAUCUUCCCGUGAAGAAGCGGGAAUAAGACUAUAAGACGAGAAGACCCUAUGGAGCUUUAAACAAAAUAACAAUUGCUUCUUUAUUUAAAAAUUCCAGAAAUUUAAGUAUUAUUCUAGCACUAUGAUUAUCAGUUUUAGGUUGGGGUGACCGCGGAGUAAAAAUUAACCUCCACAUUGAAAGGAUAUUUUCCUUAGCAAAAAGCUACAACUUUAUGCAUCAAUAAAUUGACAUUAAUUGACCCAAUAUUUUGAUCAACGAACCAAGUUACCCUAGGGAUAACAGCGCAAUCCACUUCAAGAGCUCCAUCGACAAGUGGGUUUACGACCUCGAUGUUGGAUCAGGGUAUCCCAGUGGUGCAGCCGCUACUAAAGGUUC